rnacentral:tRNA from 2 species
GGACGGAUUCCCGAGCGGUCAAAGGGAGCAGACUGUAAAUCUGCCGGCAUAGCCUUCGUAGGUUCGAAUCCUACUCCGUCCACCA